rnacentral:rRNA from 1 species
CAGCUUACACAUGCAGUCGAGGGGUAUAGAAGGCUUGCUUUCUAGAGACCGGCAAACGGGUGCGGAACACGUACACAACCUACCUUUAUCAGGGGAAUAGCCCAGAGAAAUUUGGAUUAAUGCCCCAUAGUAUAUUUUGAUGGCAUCAUUAGAAUAUUAAAGAACUUCGGAUAGAGAUGGGUGUGCGUAAGAUUAGCUAGUUGGUAAGGUAACGGCUUACCAAGGCGACGACCUUUAGCUGAUGUGAGAGCAUGAUCAGCCACACGGGCACUGAGACACGGGCCCGACUCCUACGGGAGGCAGCAGUGAGGAAUAUUGGUCAAUGGACGGAAGUCUGAACCAGCCAUGCCGCGUGAAGGAUGAAGGCGUUCUGCGUUGUAAACUUCUUUUAUCUGAGAAGAAACCACCGAUUUCUAUUGGUGUUGACGGUAUCAGAUGAAUAAGCACCGGCUAACUCCGUGCCAGCAGCCGCGGUAAUACGGAGGGUGCAAGCGUUAUCCGGAUUUACUGGGUUUAAAGGGUGUGUAGGCGGACUUAUAAGUCAGGGGUGAAAUCUCCGAGCUCAACUCGGAAACUGCCUUUGAUACUAUUAGUCUUGAAUUAUGUUGAGGUUGACGGAAUAUAACAUGUAGCGGUGAAAUGCAUAGAUAUGUUAUAGAACACCGAUUGCGAAAGCAGCUGGCUAAACAUAUAUUGACGCUGAGGCACGAAAGCGUGGUAGCGAACAGGAUUAGAUACCCUGGUAGUCCACGCCCUAACGAUGAUUACUCGUCAUUGGCGAUACACAGUCAGUGACAGCGAAACGUUAGUAUCCACCUGGG